AUUGAACGCUGGCGGCAUGCUUUACACAUGCAAGUCGAACGGCAGCACAGAGAAGCUUGCUUCUUGGGUGGCGAGUGGCGAACGGGUGAGUAAUAUAUCGGAACGUACCGAGUAAUGGGGGAUAACUAAUCGAAAGAUUAGCUAAUACCGCAUAUUCUCUGAGGAGGAAAGCAGGGGACCUUCGGGCCUUGCGUUAUUCGAGCGGCCGAUAUCUGAUUAGCUAGUUGGUGGGGUAAAGGCCUACCAAGGCGACGAUCAGUAGCGGGUCUGAGAGGAUGAUCCGCCACACUGGGACUGAGACACGGCCCAGACUCCUACGGGAGGCAGCAGUGGGGAAUUUUGGACAAUGGGCGCAAGCCUGAUCCAGCCAUGCCGCGUGUCUGAAGAAGGCCUUCGGGUUGUAAAGGACUUUUGUCAGGGAAGAAAAGGCUGUUGCUAAUAUCAAUAGCUGAUGACGGUACCUGAAGAAUAAGCACCGGCUAACUACGUG
rnacentral:rRNA from 1 species